AGGUGAUUAUAGCGAUGGGGCUCACCUCUUACCAUUCCGAACAGAGAAGUUAAGCCCAUUAGCGCCGAUGGUACUGCCAUAGGUGGGAGAGUAGGUCGUUGCCUUGCU
rnacentral:rRNA from 1 species